UACGGGGGGGGGCAAGCGUUGUUCGGAAUUACUGGGCGUAAAGGGCUCGUAGGCGGCCAACUAAGUCAGAUGUGAAAUCCCCAGGCUUAACCUGGGAACUGCAUCUGAUACUGGAUGGCUUGAAUCCGGGAGAGGGAUGCAGAAUUCCAGGUGUAGCGGUGAAAUGCGUAGAUAUCUGGAGGAAUACCGGUGGCGAAGGCGGCAUCCUGGACCGGCAUUGACGCUGAUGAGCGAAAGCUAGGGGAGCAAACGGG
rnacentral:rRNA from 1 species